AUGCUCUUGCCCGGAAGGAAUUUUGCAAAUGAAUCAGUGUGUGCCAUGAAGAACAAGCAACGAUACCGUGAAAGUGACAUGCCAGUGAAACUGACAUUCCAAUCCUUAAAGGAGGUCACAAACAACUUUGCCGACAAACUUGGCAGUGGUGCAUCUGCGGAAGUUUACAGGGGAGAGUUCAAUGGAGAAGUGAUUGCCGUAAAGAAACUGCCAUUCAGGAUUGGGACUGAUGAGAAGCAAUUCCAAAACGAAUACGAACACCUUAAGAGGCUCAAGCAUCCUAAUAUCGUGCGGCUAGUGGGCUUCUGUGAUGAAACAGAGCAUGCAUUUGUAGAGUACAAAGGGAAAACAAUAAUUGCCGAAGAAAUACAUAGGGCACUCUGCCUCGAAUGCCUGCCCAAGGGACCCCUUAGUGACUAUCUUCAUGAAAAAUAUACUGGACAUAGUUGGCACACACGGUUCCAGAUAAUCAACGGGAUGUGUGAGGGUUUGAAAUAUAUUCAUGAAGUUUCCGUUGUGCAUUUGGAUAUAAAGCCUGGUAAUAUAUUGCUAGAUGCGGAAAUGAUACCGAAAAUUGCGGAUUUUGGAAUAUCAAGGCUACUGGUCGAGGAAUGCAUCAGAGAGGCCACUCAGUUAGGGACAAUUGGAUACAUACCAAGGGAGUUCAUAGACAAUCAAGUUAUCUCAAGAGAGUUUGACAUCUUUAGCUUAGGGGUUACGAUUAUGAAGAUAUUGACAGAACCAAUGGACUACUGGAACAUUUCUUACAUGAAUGACAAGGAAUGUAUUGAGCAUGUACACGACAAUUGA
rnacentral:rRNA from 1 species